rnacentral:tRNA from 1 species
GCCGAAAUAGCUCAGUUGGGAGAGUGUUAGACUGAAGAUCUAAAGGUCCUGGGGUCUGAUCCCGGGUUUCAGCA